rnacentral:rRNA from 1 species
GACGAACGCUGGCGGCGUGCUUAACACAUGCAAGUCGAGCGGUAAGGCCCUUUCGGGGGUACACGAGCGGCGAACGGGUGAGUAACACGUGGGUGACCUGCCCUUAGCUCUGGGAUAAGCCUGGGAAACUGGGUCUAAUACCGGAUAUGACUCCAUAACGCAUGUUGUGGGGCGGAAAGCCUUGUGCGGCUAGGGAUGGGCCCGCGGCCUAUCAGCUUGUUGGUGGGGUGAUGGCCUACCAAGGCGACGACGGGUAGCCGGCCUGAGAGGGCGACCGGCCACACUGGGACUGAGACACGGCCCAGACUCCUACGGGAGGCAGCAGUGGGGAAUCUUGCGCAAUGGGCGAAAGCCUGACGCAGCGACGCCGCGUGGGGAUGACG